GUCUCUGUGGCGCAAUGGGUUAGCGCGUUCGGCUGUUAACCGAAAGGUUGAUGGUUCGAAUCCAUCCAGGGCCG
rnacentral:tRNA from 1 species